AGUCUUAUAUUCUAAAGUGAUAUUAAAUUGCAAAUUUAAUGGUGAAUAAUUUAUUCUAAGGCUU
rnacentral:tRNA from 1 species